CUGUCAGAUGAUUUAUUACCCGCGAUAAUAACUCAGAAAUAUAGUUCGAAUGUAUUUUUAUUUCUUUCCUACUUACGGAAAGUUUCUGUUUAUAUCACAGGUUUGUGGCGCCUUUUUAUACUAAAGAAAGAUAUAAAACUUCAGAUAUUUCACAAAGAGAUUCUAACAUUCAUGUAAAAACCUUACAUAACCUUUUAUUAAAGCAGAAAGUACAGCAGCCACCGUAACAAAGGCUUAUAGUAUUUAAUUAUGGCCCAUAACUGAUCAGUAGAUCAUUGCGGGAAUCUCUCUAGAGGCCUCGGUCAUUUGAACUUUCCUGCAAAAUGAAACUGAAGCUGCUGCACAAAGAUCCGAAAACAAACAGCUUGUUUACCUGCAGCAGUCACUCACCUGCGGAGAUAAAGACGGGAAGUCUCGCAGAGAGCAGAGAGAGUCCGCAGAGCAACCAGGUAACUGCGGACAUUUUCUAACACCUGGAAUCCAGACAAACACCAGAACCAGAACCA